AAUACUACUCGAGACCGAUAGUUGACAAGUAGCGUGAGCGAAAGCUGAAAAGUAUCCUUAGCGGGAUGUGAAAAGAACCUGAAACCAGUCGGGAACAAGCUGAAUAGGCGUGAAAGCGAAGAUAUGAGCAGCGUCUAUUCGUGCGUUUCGAAUAAUGCCCCUGGGAGUUCUGAUUAAUGGCGAGGUUAAGGAGUUGAACUCUGAAGCCGAAGGGAAACCGAAAGGUCCGCAGCCGCUUAGGCGGUGAGGGACUGGGUGUGCUCGCCCGGAGUCAUUAGUGGGAGACCUGAAGCCUAUCGAUCUAUGCCUGGCCAGAUUGAAGCCCGAUGAAAGUUGGGUGGAGGAUCCAACCGUUGCUGAUGUGCAAAUCGCUCGGAUGAGCUGGGUAUAGGGGUGAAAGUCCAAUCGAGAUGGGCAAUAGCAGGUUCCGCGCGAGACUACUCGCAGGCAGAUCUUCGCAGAGAUAGAUUACGAUGUAGAGCACUGAUUGGGUAUUUAGGGGGAGCGAUCCCUCGGUACGCUGUCAAACUCCGAAGUUGUAAUCGUCGUAGAAGCGAGGAGUGAGCCACGGUGGGUAAGCUACCGUGACGAAAGGUGAAGAAACCAGCUCAGUGUUAAGGUCCCAAAAUUACAGUUAAGUGUUAAUUACAAACGGAGUCCGUGGUCGAAGACAACUAGAAGGUGGGCUUAGAGGCAGCCAUCCUUGAAAGAGUUCGUAACAGAUCACUAGUCAAGCUUGCGGGCCCGAAAAAUGGACGGGACUAAAACUGUAUACCGAUACACUGAUCCUUCGAAAGAAGAUGAGGUAGCGCGGCGACAUGCUCGGGUAGAAGCUCGGUUUUGAGAUCGGGUGGACCGUGUAUGUAUGAGAAUCUAGGGAAGAGUAGCAGCAUAGUGCGGUGAGAAUCCGCACCACCGAAGGGGUAAGGGUUCCUCGGCAAUGGUUAUCAGCCGAGGGUUAGCCGAUCCUAAGGUCAUUCCUAACCGAAAUGAUCGAAAGGGAAUUGCGUUAAUAUUCGUAAGCCCCUCUUACAUUAAUGGUGACGGCUUGGGCUAGUUUAUGCGCAUCAGUCAUGGUGCGUCGAAGCGUUCAAUAAUCGAAUGGAGAACCGUAAUGGUGAGAAGUUCGAGAAGACGUGAGCAAAAGAUAGAUGAGGCCUAGGUCCCAUGAAAAGCCGUAAGAGGUGAUCGUACCAAGAUCUGACACAGGUACCCAAGGUGAGAAGCCUAAGGUGUGACGGGCAAAGUAUCGUGAAGGAACUCGGCAAAAUCGCUCUGUAACUUCGGGAGAAGGAGUGCCAGGUUCGAGAGAACCUGGUCGCAGUAACAAGGGGACUCCGACUGUUUAAUAAAAACAUAGCCGACUGCUAGUUCGAAAGGAUGUGUAUAGUCGGUGAAUCCUGCUCAGUGCCGGUAUCUGAAAUCGGGUUUCAACCUGAUGAAGGACCGGUAAACAGCGGGGGUAACUAUGACCCUCUUAAGGUAGCGUAAUACCUUGUCGCUUAAUUGGCGACUUGCAUGAAUGGCACAACGAGAGUCCCACUGUCUCCACGAUACGUCCGGCGAAAUUGACUAUUACUGGCGCACAGUCCAGUAACCUCAACCUGCAAGCGAAGACCCCAUAGAGCUUUACUACAGCCUGGCGUUGAAUAAUCGCACACUAUGUGCUGAGUAGACGGGAGAUGUUGAUCAUCUGGACGCCAGUUCAGAUGGGAGUCGUCCAUAGAGACACCGUCCUUAGUUUGUAAUUAUUCUAACUCUUUUAGAGAACACCGUUUGGUGGGUAGUUUGGGUGGGGCGCCACGCGCCCGAAAAUAUAACAGGCGUGCCCAAAGGUCAGCUUAGGUGGUUCAGUCUCCACCGUUAACCGUAAGGGGAAAAGCUGGCUUGACGUGGAUCGGACCAAUAACGAUCGACGAUGCGAAAGCAGGGCCUAACGAACCAAUCUACCUCAUUUAUGGGGGUGAUUGAUAACAGAAAAGUUACCUUGGGGAUAAUUGAGUUGUCACCAGCAAGAGCACAUAUCGACCUGGUGGCUUGCUACUUCGAUGUCGUCUCUUCCCAACCUCCUGGUGCAGCAGCUGGGAAGGGUGGGGUUGUUCGCCCAUUAAAGGGGAUCGUGAGAUGGGUUUAGACCGUCGUGAGACAGGUUUGUUGCUU
rnacentral:rRNA from 1 species